GCCUGGGUGGCUCAGUCGGUUGAGCAUCUGACUUCAGCUCAGGUCACGACCUCACAGUUUGUGGGUUCGAGCCCUGCAUCAGGCU
rnacentral:tRNA from 1 species